AACGAACGCUGGCGGCAUGCCUAACACAUGCAAGUCGAACGAGACCUUCGGGUCUAGUGGCCCACGGGUUCGUAACGCGUGGGAACCUUCCCUUAUGUUCGGAAUAACUCCCCGAAAGGGGUGCUAAUACCGGAUAAUGUCUUCUGACCAAAGAUUUAUCGCCUUUGGAUGUGCCCGCGUUGGAGUAGCUAGUUGGUAAGGUAACAGCCUACCAAGGCAACGAUGAAUAGCUUGCCGGAGAGGGUGAUCAGCCACACUGGAACUGAGACACGGUCCAGACUCCUACGGGAGGCAGCAGUAGGGAAUCUUCCGGAAUGGGCGAAAGCCUGAAGGAGCAAAGCCGCGUGAGUGAUGAAGGUCUUCGGAUCGUAAAACUCUGUUAUUAGGGAAGAACAUAUGUGUAAGUAACUGUGCACAUCUUGACGGUACCUAAUCAGAAAGCCACGGCUAGCUACGUG
rnacentral:rRNA from 1 species